GGGGUGAAAUCCCACAGCUCAACUGUGGAACUGCCUUUGAUACUGUCAGUCUAGAGUAUAGUUGAAGUUGGCGGAAUGUGUCAUGUAGCGGUGAAAUGCUUAGAUAUGACACAGAACACCGAUCGCGAAGGCAGCUAGCUAAGCUAUAACUGACGCUCAUGCACGAAAGCGUGGGGAUCAAACAGGAUUAGAUACCCUGGUAGUCCACGCUGUAAACGAUGAUUACUCGAUGUUGGCGAUACACAGUCAGCGUCUGAGCGAAAGCAAUAAGUAAUCCACCUGGGGAGUACGAUCGCAAGAUUGAAACUCAAAGGAAUUGACGGGGGCCCGCACAAGCGGAGGAGCAUGUGGUUUAAUUCGAUGAUACGCGAGGAACCUUACCUGGGCUCGAACGUAAGAUGACUGUAGGUGAAAGCUUACAUCUCUUCGGAGCAUUUUACGAGGUGCUGCAUGGUUGUCGUCAGCUCGUGCCGUGAGGUGUCGGGUUAAGUCCCAUAACGAGCGCAACCCCUACCUUUAGUUGCCAUCAGGUCAUGCUGGGGACUCUAAAGGAACUGCCUACGCAAGUAGUGAGGAAGGCGGGGAUGACGUCAAAUCAGCACGGCCCUUACGUCCAGGGCUACACACGUGCUACAAUGGCCGAUACAGAGGGCAGCUACCUGGUGACAGGAUGCAAAUCUCCAAAGUCGGUCUCAGUUCGGAUCGGAGUCUGCAACCCGACUCCGUGAAGUUGGAUUCGCUAGUAAUCGCGCAUCAGCCAUGGCGCGGUGAAUACGUUCCCGGGCCUUGUACACACCGCCCGUCAAGCCAUGGAAGCUGGGGGGACCUAAAGUCGAUAACCGCAAGGAGCCGCCUAGGGUAAAACCAGUGACUGGGGCUAAGUCGUAACAAGGUAGCCG
rnacentral:rRNA from 1 species